rnacentral:rRNA from 1 species
CACGUAGGCACCAAGCGUUGUCCGGAUUUAUUGGGCGUAAAGAGCUCGUAGGCGGCUUGUCGCGUCGGCUGUGAAAACCCGUGGCUCAACCAUGUGGUCUGCAGUCGAUACGGGCAGGCUAGAAUUCGGUAGGGGAGACUGGAAUUCCCGGUGUAGCGGUGGAAUGCGUAGAGAUCGGGAGGAACACCAGUGGCGAAGGCGGCUCUCUGGCCUGCAACUGACGCUGAGGCGCGAAAGCGUGGGGAGCAAACAGG